AGUCGAACGCGAAAGUCCCGCAAGGGAUCAGUAGAGUGGCAAACGGGUGAGUAACACGUGGGUGACCUGCCUUCGAGUGUGGGAUAACGUCCCGAAAGGGACGCUAAUACCGCAUCACAUCCCGCCUUUGAAGAGGUGGAGAUCAAAGCUGGGGAUCGCAAGACCUAGCGCUUGAAGAGGGGCCCGCGCCUGAUUAGCUAGUUGGUGGGGUAAUGGCUCACCAAGGCGACGAUCAGUAUCCGGCCUGAGAGGGCGGACGGACACACUGGGACUGAGACACGGCCCAGACUCCUACGGGAGGCAGCAGUGGGGAAUUGUUCGCAAUGGGCGCAAGCCUGACGACGCAACGCCGCGUGGAGGAUGAAGACCUUCGGGUCGUAAACUCCUUUCGAUCGAGACGAAUGGCCUCCGGGUGAACAGUCCGGAGGAGUGACGGUACCGAGAGAAGAAGCCCCGGCUAACUCCGUGCCAGCAGCCGCGGUAAUACGGGGGGGGCAAGCGUUGUUCGGAAUUACUGGGCGUAAAGGGCUCGUAGGCGGCCAACUAAGUCAGACGUGAAAUCCCUCGGCUUAACCGGGGAACUGCGUCUGAUACUGGAUGGCUUGAGAUUGGGAGAGGGAUGCGGAAUUCCAGGUGUAGCGGUGAAAUGCGUAGAUAUCUGGAGGAACACCGGUGGCGAAGGCGGCAUCCUGGACCAACACUGACGCUGAGGAGCGAAAGCCAGGGGAGCAAACGGGAUUAGAUACCCCGGUAGUCCUGGCCCUAAACGAUGAAUGCUUGGUGUGGCGGGUAUCGAUCCCUGCCGUGCCGAAGCUAACGCAUUAAGCAU
rnacentral:rRNA from 1 species